rnacentral:tRNA from 1 species
GCGAAAAUAGCUCAGCCGGUAGAGCAUUAGCUUCCCAAGCUAAGGGUCGCGGGUUCGAAUCCCGUUUUUCGCU